UCAGACCCCUAGGAGUGGACACUAGCUCUCCCGCUGGGUCCAUCUCCGCCGUUUCCCCGGGGAUUCCGCCGUGGGAAACCCCCACCUUCUCCAGGGUUCUGGUCCCCAGAGUCUUGGGAAUUUGGAGAUGCCUGACCCGGAAGGAUGCCGUGAUUGUGAAGUAAGUUGUCUCAAGUCCUUGGAAUCGUAGUUGCAGUGCUUCUUCUAAUCCAUCCUGCCACUCAUAGGACAAAUAGCAGGAUUUCGUUAUCUACCACAUGAACGAUAACAGCAACGCCAUUGAACAAGAUGUGAAGGUAGUGAUGCGGUCAGUCACAGAGAAGAAAUCCUGGCUUGUGUGAGUGCGUCAUAUCAAUCCAUUCUCAUUGGCAGUGUCUGGGGUCGGCAGGUGACUAGUCCCCGAUGAAGACACUUAUGAGGAAGGUCACGCUGAAGAAAGACCUCUCCACCCACUCAGCUGCUCCUUUCUUCUCUUCAGGCUUUUUUCAUAUUGUCUCAUGAGGACUUGAUAUUUGGAGAGCUGCUGCUGAAGCUUGGAAUGUCCCAAUGGAUACACAUGAUACAUAUGCACAAUUAUGAACUUACACUGCAGUUCUAGACUUAUUGACAGGGAAAGAUAUCUAUGAUAUGUUGCUGAUAUGAUACGUAACAUUAAAACUAUUUACAUAAAAUUGAACACAAUUGUGUAUAUAUGCACCAAGACCUGCCUGGAAUUAUGUUCAUUUAAAUAUUAAGAGUGGUCGUCUCUGAGUAGUGAGAUGUUGGUGAAUUUCUACUUUAUUCCUUAUAUUUUUCUGUAAGGUUUAAGGUUUAGAUUUUAAUGUGAAUAAUCAACUUUUUUAAAAAGUAUGAUUCUGGGCAAUUCUCAUCUAUCUCAUGUUACUUAUAAUGGAUUUUUUUUCCAAACAAAUAUGUCCCAUCAUAAAAAUUCUUUUUUAUAAGACCGCAUAACUGGCAUCACAUGAUUUUUCUCCAUGGCAUAAUCAUCAGACAGGAAAUGUUUUGAUUCUGGAAUAACAUUUCCUGAUAAACAUUUGUUGGAAACAUUUAAGCAUUUCCUGAUCUGAAAAUUUUUGAGAUUUUUUUUUCUUUGUGUAUCUUAUUGUUAUAAUUAACAAUACUCUCUAGCCCAGUGGGACAGAAUCAACCUGUUGCAGGAAAAAAAAAAAAACUUUGAGAAAAACAUGGAUUUUAUUAGAGAGACAUUUUCCAGUCACCAAGAAAAUAAAACUGGCACAAUUUUCACCUAGUGGUGAAAAUAAUAAGUAGUCUCCCCUUAGCCUACAUUUAAGAAAUUUAAAUUUCUUUGGCACAUUUAAUUCUCGAAAGAAAUUGCAUAUGCUUAAAGCCAAAAAGAUGUUAAAAUCUUUUAGGCUUUAAGAAUAGUCUAGGCCUCUAGAGUAAAAUUGAAAAAGGGCCUUUCUUCCAGUGAUCACUUCGUUAUUAAGUAGUGUAUUGUUCAGCCUCCAUGUGUUUGUAUUUUUUACAGAUCUCUUCCUGUAAUUGAUAUCUAGUCUCAUAGCGUUGU